CUGUCUUUUCUUAAUUAAUCUUCACUCCCUGCUCAGAUGCUGUUUCCGACUACGCCAGCAGGUACCUGCAGGUGGCGUCCGAACAGAGACCUGAGAGAGCACCAGGAAUUUUAGCUCGUAAAAUUAAAAGAUUCUAAAGCAGACUGAAGACAAGCAGCUUUCCAGGAAUCCCAUAGGACUCCAGAUUGAGACUUCUGAGACAUCCAGUCCCCUGGCCUAAAGAACUGUCAGAUUCUCAGCCUUUCAUCCUAAAACAGCCAUUGAUCAACUAUCAGAAUGCCAUAUUGUAAGCCAGUAUAACAAAUACUAUAUAUGAGAUUCUAUCAGUUCUGUUCCUUUAAAGAACCCAGAUUAAUACAUCCUUAUUCCAUGGGUCUUCAAAAGUCCUGCUCCAAGAUCUAUCGAUUAGAAGCUGUUAGAGGCCAGCCUGGGUCCUCACAGUCUGGGCUGGCUGAAGGCAUCCAGAGGCCCCCCUGGUGCCACUCUGCCCAGAUCUCCCUUCUCUACUCCUCUGAUCCACCACCACCAAUGCACCUCUUCUGCAAGCCCAAGGGGAUACACAUAUCCAGUACCUGCAUCUCCCUUUCUACAUUAUACUUUGGACAUCAGGACUCAGAACCCCUGCAAAGUGGUUAGAAUCUGCUUCUGGACUGAAGGCCUUUCCUUGGUCAUCUUCUCAAAACCCACGCUUCCUUGACUCAAAGAGGGCUGGGUUAGCUACUUCACUUGUUCUUUUCAUCAAUUGUUCAACAGACACAAGUUAAUGGAGCAAAGAGUUUCUUUAUCUUCCAGUUUUAGUCCAUCUUGGCAGGGAGAAUGUGGUGUCCAGAGUGGCUCAUUUCAUGGCGUCAGGAGCUUCUUAUAUGACAGCAGACAGAAGCAGAGAACCCAGACCAGAACCAGAGACAGGUAUGAACUUCAAGACCUGUUCCUAGUGACUCAUUUCCUCCAGCUAGGCACCAUGUUCCGAAGGGUCCACAAUCUCUCCCAAAUAGCACCACUAACAGGGAACCAAAUCUGUGGGGAACCUGUGGGGGUCACAUUCCACAUUCAAAUCAUAACACUAGUGAGAAGAGCUUGGCAAUGUGUCUGUGUUCCAGCGUAGAACUCCAAACUACACUUCCUGGUCAUUAUGAAGUUAUGUUUAGUGUCAAAUCAAAAUAGAACAUAUGUAUUUUACACAGCAUCUUGUUUGCUUAACUUAUGUUUCAUAUAGAUUUAAUUUUUUAUAUUAAUUCUAUAUACUCGUCUUCACUGAAUAUUCUUCUGGGACCUGCAUUUAGUUUCACUGCUGUUGAAAAUACAAAUUAGUGCAACUUCUCUAGGAAAAUAUUGGUAUGUGGAAAUAAGAUACACACACACACACACACACACACACACACACACACACACACACUCUUUGGCUCAAGAAUUCCUCUUCGGGUAUUUAUUCUUCAUAUAGAUUUGUUGUGACGGGUCAUCUUCACAUCUUCAUUUUCAAGUUGCCUAGAUUUAGAUUCACCAUGGAAACGCUCCUGGGUGUGACUAGAAGAGUUUUUCCACAGGAUCUUCUGAGGAGGGAAGUCUAACCCUGAGUGUGGGCAACACCAUUCCACGGGCUGGGGUGCCAAGCUGAGCAAGUAGGAGCAAGUGGAACUGGACAGAUGGCCCAAUGGGUCAAAAGCAUGGCUGCCUUUCCAGAGGAAGAACAAUUCUCAGCAUCCACCUGACAGCU